rnacentral:lncRNA from 1 species
AAAGAGAUAAUUUCCUCGGGGAAAUCCCGUUUGCUUAUCUGAAGUGAGUCAUCUUCCUUCAGUUAGUUCUAAGACAGCUUACAACCAGGCUGUCCAUUAGAGUUCAGGGUUUUCUCAAGGAGCCAACCCGUUCGGGCCGCCGAAAUAGGAAAGCAAGACUGCUGACCUCACGUGGUACAAGGCCCCCCAGACAGCUAUCUGCACAGACACCUGACAGUUUAUGAAGCUCUUAACUUGUCCACUAAAAGAUUUUGUUGUGAAGAUAUUCCUCUUGGAAAGUAUCUUGUUUGGCAAGUUCCCAUGGCCACUGGGGAUUCAACUUGAAGGGAAGCGUUAGGAAAAUAUUUUUGAUGACUCUGG